GAAAGGAGGGCGCAAGGGGUUGUGGGAGCCGGGAGCCCUUCCGGGACGCGGACGGCGACCGACUGCGCCGGCGCCAACCGGAGCGGAUCUGUGCGGCGGGGGGAGGGAGGGAGCGAGCGCGGCUAGGAGACCUUUGACGCAGUGCUUUUCAUACACAAAAGAAGAACCGAAACAGUGAAGGCCAAGUACCUCAUGAGUCUGUCGACAGUCUUUUGGAAUCGCCAGAUAGCUUUCAGAGUGACACGCCACGACUGAGCGCCUCCUCCUGCGCACCCGUCGAUGACGGAGGCUGCACAGGGUAGUGUUCCUUUUUAUUUUGCUCUGUCAGUACGUACUGUGCUCACGAGCCAGUGCAAACUGAAUCCAGCAUGCCGUAAAUGCGCUGCCUGUGGCAGUCCACGCGCUGUGGCGUACUUCUGUCAUACAGCUUUGAAAGAAAUGCUUGUGCAAAAGCCAACACAGUAAGUACAAAGUCAUUCUCUUCUGCCCCAUGUGCCCAUUGGUUAAAGCUAAUCGUGCAUUGAUUGUGCUGGUGGGACUCUAUCGCAGUGGCUGUGGUAAAUUUGAUGAUUCUGAUAAGCUAUUGCUUCUUCUUGAUGUUAGUUGUUGCUGCUGCUGCUGCUGCUGCUGCUGCGCUGUCUGAUGAUACCCCAUGUUUCCUUGCUGUGGCGAGUAAGAGGGCAGGAGCAAAGAAUCGGGUUGCUCAUUGUGCAAAGAACUUGGUGUUUGCACCUACAGAUAAAAUAAAACUCACCGUGGUGUUCGAUUCUUUCACAUGUUAUAGCUGUUCGUCCUCAAGGUACAGGGUGCUUAAAAAUACUACUUGUUUGCUGGCUUUUAUUUCUGGGGCUGUUUGGCAUGGGCUUAGCUUACCUAAUGCUAGAAGGAGUGGUCAUAAAUGGCAACGAAGAACAUUACAGUUAGGCAUUGUGAAAGGUUUUCUAGUAGGAAUGCACUGCCUAGGGUUUGCAGGUUAUCCUGAAAAGGCCGUUUAUGAACAGAGUGGGAGAACGUGUCAGAAAUGACACGGGUGGAUGAUAGAAAUGAAACAAAAAUUAAACAGGAUCCUAGUGUACCUCAUGCUGUCUCUUCUAGCCCUUCCUUUUUGUGAGUUUACAGCAGGGUGUGACCUUGCAGUGGUGAAGCCAAUAUGAAUUUUGCAGAUGGUUUUGUUGGGAACAGUAUCUGCCACAGUUUUUUUUUGAUUAAUUCUCAGCUAUGAUAAGGAUUUCAUUUCAAUAACAAGAGUUUAAUCAUUUGAGGUUGGUGAUACUCUUUCAAUGAUGCCAGUGGUUAUGUGAUCAUGUUUUACAGACUCAGUUCAGCUCCUUUUUGAGUUAAUACAGAGACACCUCAUUUCCCACCUUUCCCUUGACUUUACUAUGUGUUGAACUAGGUAAAAAAAAAAAAAAGUAUUUUUACAUCUUCAAAUCACCUAGUUCUUCCAGGCAAUGUGCUCCAGUUUAUCUUCUUUGUCUUGUGGAGUUGAGAAAAUAUGUUAAUUUACUGAAGGGAUCCAGAUAUCUGAUCCAGAUCUCAUUUUAUGUCAAUGCUGGUAAUUAAAAGUAAUCUUUUGACUUGUAAACUAAGCAAAUUUUAUACCGAAUAAAGAGUACAGAAUAAAUCCUAAGGCAGCAAUUUUCUCUGUAUAGAAAUACACUUUAAAUAUAUCCAGGAUAAUCUGAUUACGUUUGCAGUGUACAGAACUAGCAAUUUCCUUUUAAAUAUUCUGACUGUUCUCACUGUUCCCUUGCUAUACUGGAAGGGUACACGACACUGUAUCAGCAUCUUGCACGUUUUACUAUCUCUAAAAUGGCCGUUUGUACCAUGAUCAGGCUCCCACUGGAAGCUGGAGGCCUGUUUUUGCAGCCCAUUCGCCUUAUUACUCUUCAUGUACAUUUUAAACAUCUCCCUCUUUGUCCUGUCCUACCUGCAGGUAGCGUUGUUGCUGAUGCUGUUGGUGCUGGAGUUGCAUAGGUGGCAGAGAGGAUGGCUGGGAAGGAGGCGUAGUGGCGAACCCUUGGUUUAACACUGCUUGUCCCAUCAGUAUGAUUGGAGAGCUGCUGCUGGAAGUCUGCACUUCCAAACUUUGAAACAUUUGUUGGGUUUGAGAAUACCUGUGGAAGAAAGAGGCAGAACAAUCAAGAACAAACUGUUGGAAGCAAAAGUCUUCUCCUAGGAUAGGGAUGGAAGCCCCUAGUCUUCCUAAAUAAUUCCUAAUAAAGGAUUCCAGGGCAGGGGACCUGCUAAUAUGAAUGAUGGCACCGUCGGCAGCACGGUACGGGAAAACAUCCCUUACUCUGCAUGAGCUGGACUUGGAGGGCAGAAUACACUUCACCUCAAAAUCUAGACCAUAAUUUAGGUUCAUUAAAGAUUCUGGUUUAUGUGUGCCUUCUCUUCAGCCACAGCGUUCACGUCCCAGGCUUGUUAAACCAAACGGCCUUUGA